rnacentral:rRNA from 1 species
GUGCCUCACUCCAUCGUGUCUGAUCGUGACAAGGUUUUCACCAACGCAAUGUGGCGCGAGCUCUUCGCCGCCACAGGGACCAAGCUUCUGUAUUCCACGGCGAACCACCCGCAGAUAGACGGCCAAACAAAGCGCGUCAACCAGUGUCUGGAGAUGUAUCUCCGGUGCGCUGUGCACGACACGCCCAAGAAAUGGCGCAAAUGGCUACCUACGGCAGAAUUCUAGUACAACUCGACCCAUUACUCCUCUCUGAACUGCUCCUCGUUCAAAGCUUUAUAUGGAAGAGAACCAAAUCUCGAAGGAUUACCACAACUGAGCUCCGAGCUGCCAGAGGAUGCCCGAGGCGGGGACCUGGACGGGGCCAUGCACACUGAGCUGCUCCGGUCGCAGCUAGCUCGCGCCCAAGUUCGUUUCAAGAAACAGGCAAAUCGUCGUCGCGCCGAGCGUGCACUCGAUGUGGGAGAACAGGUACUGCUCAAGCUUAAACCUUAUGCCCAGACUUCAGUCACCAAUCACCCGUGCCGCAAGCUGGCAUAUAAGUUCUGCGGGCCCUUCCUCGUCACUGAGCGCGUG